AUCACCUGAGCCUGGGAAGUCGAGACUGCAGUGAGCUGUGAUUGCACCACUGGGAGACUGUGGUUGCACCACUAGGAGUGAGAAGUAACUAACUUGUAUCUUGGAAGUAACUAACUUGUUUUUGAUUUUACAGGCCGAUAGGUGGAAGAGACUUGCCUUGUCUCAGAUGAGACUUUGGAGUUGGACUUUUGAGUUAAAGCUGAAAUGAGUUAAGAUUUGGGGGAUUGUUGGGAAGAAUUUAUGACAUCGGGACAGAGGGAAUUUGUUCAUUUUGUCUUAUUUAUGCUAAUGGGAACAGUCAGUGAAAUAGGAGCGACUGAAAUUAUAAGGAACCCAUAACAGUCCUUGUGCAACCAACCGCCAAAACAAACCAUUUGUCAUGAAGGGGAUAAGCAGAAAUUUAACAGCUUUCUCUCCUUUCUGUUUUUCUUUUGCCCGCGUUCCUCUGACCUCUGUUACAGCUCUAAAUUGUUGUAAAAGCAAUCAGACAUCUGUAGCAAAAGAAGGAUGAAAGAAAAAGUGUUUAAAUUAUCUGUUAAAAAAAAUGAGUUUUUCAUACGAGGAGCAACUUGCUGUUGGGGAUCAGAAAAUGAUGCCCUAAAAGGAAGGCUCUUCAGUCUGAGAAGCAAAAGUUUCUCUUAGACCUUCCCCGACCUUCUUGUAAGGGGUGCCUACGAGAGAAUGAAUGCCUCUCAUUCUCCUCAAGACUAGCCAUAGAGACUAGAAUCUCUCUUCCCCACGGCAGGUUGUAGAAACCAGAAGCUCUUUUCCCCAAAGCCAGAUAUAAAACCUAAAAAUAUUACUCUUUAUCCCCCACCUUUCUUUGUAAAAUGUUGCCAUUAAGAACUUACCUGGGCCGGGAGCGGUGGCUCACGCCUGUAAUCCCAGCACUUUGGGAGGCCGAGGCGGGCGGAUCACGAGGUCAGGAGAUCGACACCAUCCUGGCUAAAACAGUGAAACGCCGUCUCUACUAAAAAUACAAAAAAAUUAGCCGGGCGUGGUGGCGGGCGCCUGUGGUCCCGGCUACUCGGGAGGCUGAGGCAGGAGAAUGGCGUGAACCCGGGAGGCGGAGCUUGCAGUGAGCCGAGAUGGCGCCACUGCACUCCAGCCUGGGCGACAGAGCGAGACUCCGUCUCAAAAAAUAAAUAAAUAAAUAAAAUAAAAAGAACUUACCUGAUCUACCUUAUUUGACUGUAGGUCAUAAGACCCCCAUUCCAGAGACAGUCCUGCCCCACACCCAGAAGGAAGGAAAGCUGCAGAGAGAGGACAAAGAGAAUUUAGACGGACAGGCCCUGCUGGGUUUCCCCACUCAGUCCACUAGCAUUAGAUCAUUCCCUUUUUGUCCAGUCAUAUUUCUACAUGACAGUCCAUACUUAGUUGAACCUAAGCAUAAAAAUGGACAGUUUCCCUUGUAUUUUGGGGUCUUCAUUCUGAAGGUCUCCUGUCAUGUAAAUCCAUGAUCAAAUACAUUUGUAUGCCUUUUCUUGAAUAAAUCUCUUUUGUCUAUUGAUUUUCAGCAAACAUUCAGAGGGUGAAGGGGAAGCAUUGCCUUGGCCCCUACACUGUUCUUCAGGGAAAGAGCACCAGAACCUUGAGUGGUUUCUUUGUGACCAUACUUCAUUAGCGAAAUCACCUCUGCAUCUAUUAUCUCCAGCUGCAGCAGCAGCAGCAGCAGCAACAAUCCUUUUAAGGAGAGUUAAAAAUGGCUAAUGGUAUUUCCCCUCACAAGCAGUAGUUAUUAUCAUUGCUCAAGGUCAAUGUACAUAAAAGAAUGUAGAAAUUCCGAGGAAGAAAUGUGAAGAGUUUUUAUGAGAAAAGAACAGAGCUCCAGGGCUUUGCACAAAAGUGACAAAUUACUGUAAUCUUUCAUGGGAAUGGCCA
rnacentral:lncRNA from 10 species